rnacentral:SRP_RNA from 1 species
GCUGGGUGUGGUGAUGCACACCUGUAGUCUCAGCUACUCGGGAAGCUGAGGUAGGAGGAUCACUUGAGCCCAGGAGGUGGAGGUUGCAGUGAGCCAAGAUCAGGCCACUGCACUCCAGCCUGGGCAACAGAGUGAGACUCCAUCUCAA